AGCUCAAAUUUGAAAUCUGGCUCCCUCUUUGGGGGUCCGAGUUGUAAUUUGCAGAGGGUGCUUUGGCGUUGGUGGCGGUCUAAGUUCCUUGGAACCGGACAUCGCAGAGGGUGAGAAUCCCGUAUGUGGUCGCCUGCCUUCGCCGUGUAAAGCCCCUUCGACGAGUCGAGUUGUUUGGGAAUGCAGCUCUAAAUGGGAGGUAAAUUUCUUCUAAAGCUAAAUACUGGCCAGAGACCGAUAGCGCACAAGUAGAGUGAUCGAAAGAUGAAAAGCACUUUGGAAAGAGAGUCAAAAAGCACGUGAAAUUGUUGAAAGGGAAGCGCUUGUCGCCAGACUUGCCCGCAGUUGCUCACCUGGGCUCCGGCCCGGGGCACUCUUCUGCGGGCAGGCCAGCAUCAGUUCGGGCGGUUGGAUAAAGGCCUCUGUCACGUAUCUUCCUUCGGGAUGACCUUAUAGGGGAGGCGACAUGCAACCAGCCCGGGCUGAGGUCCGCGCUUCGGCUAGGAUGCUGGCGUAAUGGCUGUAAGCGGCCCGUCUUGAAACACGGACCAAGGAGUCUAACAUCUAUGCGAGUGUUUGGGUGUCAAGCCCGAGCGCGCAAUGAAAGUGAACGCAGGUGGGAACCUUCGGGUGCACCAUCGACCGAUCCUGAAGUCUUCGGAUGGAUUUGAGUAUGAGCAUAGCUGUUGGGACCCGAAAGAUGGUGAACUAUGCUUGAAUAGGGUGAAGCCAGAGGAAACUCUGGUGGAGGCUCGCAGCGGUUCUGACGUGCAAAUCGAUCGUCAAAUUUGGGCAUAGGGGCGAAAGACUAAUCGAACAUCAAUGGCA
rnacentral:rRNA from 1 species